UGCCCCGAUGAUACUAGUGAUAGGAAGUGCCGUCAGAAACGAUAACUGACGACGACGUUUAUGCUUGUGUGACC